rnacentral:rRNA from 1 species
UACGGAGGGUGCAAACGUUGCUCGGAAUCAUUGGGCGUAAAGCGCACGUAGGCGGCUUGUUAAGUCGGAUGUGAAAGCCCCAGGCUCAACCUGGGAAGUGCAUUCGAAACUGGCGAGCUUGAAUAUGGAAGAGGGUCGCGGAAUUCCCGGUGUAGAGGUGAAAUUCAUAGAUAUUCGCAAGAACACCAGUGGCGAAGGCGGCUCACUGGCCCGGUACUGACGCUGAGGUGCGAAAGCGUGGGGAGCAAACAGGG